GCCUUCUCUUCCUCUCCCGGAGUCUUGGGGUGAAGUGGGCACUUGAAAUUCCUGAAAAUAAAUGCCACACCUCCCUUUGAACACAAAGCGACAACAGGGCUUUCCUAGGGAACAGCAGGAACUUCUGUUCGCAAACCAGUAUUCCUUCAGCCAGCUAGAGGACACGGUAAGUCCUCUAGUCGUUCAUUUUCUCUCUCUUUAUAUCCAUCUAGGGGCUAGAAAUGCACUUUUCAGAGGCAGAUCUGGCUAGUCCGGGAUUCCAACCUCCGCGACGGCCAGGAGUUGAGCCCCUGAGACUGGCUUUGAGUGAGCCAGCGGCUUUCCCUGGCCGCUCUCGUCCUCUCGGGCCUCACCAGCUGCUGCGGCCUCCGACUGUCAACUCUGGCCACUCCCCACAGAGAAACUGAAGGCGGAGUCGGGGCCUGAGGGAAGCGAGCUGUGGAGGAGCCAAGGAUUGCUCGCGCUGGGGCUCUGACGGCAGGGAGGACUGACUGGCUUCUCCCCGCCUUUUUCGCCCGCCUAAAGAACGGGAAAGGAAAAAAACCAAACAAACCGAAAAACCUUCUCAGGUUUCCUAAACGCCUUGGAUCCCCACGAAUGGGAAAUUGUGGAUCUUCUUUGUGGCAACAGAGGCAAUUUGGAGCCUGCAGUCGCGGAACUCUAUCCGAUCUUCCUUUGGGGGAGAUCGUUCGUUUUCCAUCGCACUGAAAUUAAAGUGGGAAAAAAUCAA